UGCCAGUGUUGAAUUUAGAGGGUUAAAUCUUGACCUGAGCCGUGAAUCUAAUGGCUAUUCUUUCCCAUUGUCAUUUCCAGAGCAACAGUGGAGCUCUACCUGACAACAAGGUCAUCGCCACGGAGGUGGGUGCCAUGCCGGAGCUGAAGAAGUACAUGAAGAGAGUGAUGCCCUUUGUAGCCAUGAUAAAGGACAGCCUAUAGAAAAUGGGGCCCAGAGUUCUUGAUCUAGAGCUGGAGUUUGACGAGCGCACCGUCCUACUGGAGAACAUCGUUUAUUUGACUAAUUCUCUCGAGUUGGAUCAGAUAGACGUUGUAUUCGCCUCUGAAGCGGAUGACAAAGUAAAGGAGGACUGUUGCCCUGGGAAACCGUUCUGUGUCUUCAGAUCUGAGGUGAUGAUGAGAGCCACUGAGGCCCUGUCAAAGCUGCA